rnacentral:lncRNA from 1 species
CAGACCUAGUUUCUCGGCCGCGGGCCCAGCGCCGGGAGCUGGUCCGGGAGGGAGAACGCGCGCCCCGGCCCGGGUUCACUGGCCCCAGCGUGUCGGGGGACUCCACGGUGCGGAAAAGCCCGGGGGUCAGGGGACAGUUGGGCUCGCGGGGACCACAGCACUGGCACCUCCCUGACUCAGAGGACGCCCAGUCAGGUGGGCCCGGAGCACCGGGGGCUCCCGAAGUGGGGCCUGAUGGUGCCCAGGAGCGCUGACCUCAGGAGGCCUGAGUCCGUUUGUCAUUGCCCGGAUAGAAUAUACGCUCUUUCUUUUCACAAAGCCCUCACAGGAAACCUUGUUUAACUCUCCCUCUAACUGCCACCUUUUUACUUUGUUGUGGAAACAAAGAUAUGAAUGUUUAGUGCAAAGCACAAACAUCAUGCCGUUAAUACACUUCCAGACAGAAUCAUUACAAGAAAAUGAUCUCAGUGUUCAUGAUUUUAGCUGUUGUUAUUUAGGGAAUAUGAUUAAUUUGGUUUAAAAGAAUACUAAUGAUCUUGUGAAUUUGAAGACAGUGUCAAAGCCCUGGAUUUAUUAUACUGAAAUUAUUAGAUGGACUUUUACUGUUUUUAUAAUAAUAUUAUUUUGCUAGAGGUAGACGUAAAAAGUUGAACACAAGCAAGUUAACCCAAGCUGUUAAAUUUAAAAAAAGUUUAAAUUUGCAUGAAUCAUCUUUAGAACUAUAUUUAAGAAUCGAUGUUUAGUACUAAUAAUCUAUAAUUUAGUAACUUGAAUCUUACGUGUCUUCCAUACUUGCAGGUAUGAUAAAGAAGAGUCGUAUCAGCUGAGCAGUCGUGAUUGUGAUUACGUCCCUGGUUGACUCAUGAAUAGGCUUUGUAAUGGUAGAUUGUUCUUUUGGACACACAGCCAAAAUGCUAAAGUUCACUGGGAGGUCUGCUAAGGUUUCUUACAUCAAAGAGUUGACAGAGAAAGGACUUACUAAAUGAAAAUAUUAUUUAGUAGUUUCUAGUAAACCUCAAAAAUCAUUCCAAAUUGGAACAUACACUAUGUUUACAUGUUUAAGUUAAACUGAGUCAUGAAGCUAACCGCUGACUUAUGUAUGCUUUCAGUAGUGUUGCCUAAAUGUUCUCAUUUAAAAGAAGUCCCCAUAGGAUUAUGAGAUGUGCAUAUAGUACGAUGUCAUUUUUCUUGGGAAACUUUCAGCUUACUUAUGCAAUAAGGAAAUUUAAGGUUAUUUGAGUACAUCUGGAAUAAUAGCUUUAGAUUUUUGAAAUUUGUCUUUUUGGGGUAGCUUUUCCCUUUUUCCUUGACAAAAUAUAACACAACGAUCCUAUUUCCUAUCUGAGCUUAGUUCAAGUUGUUAUGGUGGCAAAGUUAUGGGUUAUGAAAUGCACAAAAAUGUUGGUACAGAUAUACUUAGUGGCCCACUUAAGAAAAUAAAAUUGGAGAUUAAGAAUAGAGGGAAGGUUGUGGCUCCUUGGUAUUAUGUUAGGAGAGCAGAAUCCAUUAUAGUACACUCUUACAGUUAAACAAUUUGGGGACAAACAAGGUUAUGUGAGUGACAAAGUUUCAUAAAACUAGAAAGCACUAUGUUAAUGCAAGAUUACUUUCUAAAAAUAUUGAUUCUCAUUCCCUUUUUUCCUUCACAAUAAAAUUGUAUGGAACGUUUGUGUGGUAGAACAAGGAGAACUUCUAAAGUGCAUGUUAGUUUCAUCCUUUGAGGCCACAUAUUGGGUCUCCUGCAUUCUAUCUGUUUACUCUCUAUAAGAUUUAAAACAGAGAGAGUAAAUAGACAGAAGGCAGAGGACCCAACUAUGUGGCCUCAAAAGAUGUGGCCGCAAAGGUACUAUGAAAGUAUUUAGUAGUAGUAUUAUAGGGACCAGUUACUCCAGAUUUGUAUGAACAAUAAUCCCCAGUUUUGAUGCAGCAUCAUGUUGGAGGUGCUAAGUAGGAUCCUUAGACUUAUUAGUUGAAUCUCAUAAUCACCAGGAGAUUAACAUACUAUUUUAUGAAAAAUGGAGUGUGAAAAGUCCUUAUGGACUGCAUAGAUUCUGAAUUUUUAUAACAUUAAUCCAAACCCAGUACCUUGUCUGUAAUUAUAGUCUAAGCAUAUGUGAUUUGAUUAACACAUGAAUUACAAAUAUAUCUACUUUUGGGCAUAUAUUCCACCUUUUGUACUGCAGAAAAAUUUUGUGCCUUUGCAGUGACCAAAACUAUAGUUCUGUUUAGGGUCAGUAGGAGAAGAUGUUUUUCCUCUUAACUGAGAAGUUUAUGUUUCUUGGAGGAAAAUCCUAGAAUAAAUGCAAUCUUCCAUUGUAUCUUGGAAUUACAAUUUGAAAUAUCUUAAACAGUAUUUUUUGAAAGAAUUGGUUGUCUACUGUAUGCCUUUUCCAAUGAACUACAUAAAUAAAGGCAGAGUUUGUCUUUUCCUCUCUGAAUGCCUAAUGCCUAGAACGGUGCCUGACCCGGAGUAGUUGCUCAGAGCACGGGUGCUGAAUGAGGAAAUAAAGAUGAUACUGCUAUCUCUCAUAUUUCAGAUGCUAUUUUGUAGUCUUCGGUCAUAAUUUUAGAAUUCUCUUUUUGGUAAGAGGUUUAAAAAAGUGAGAUAUUAUUUGAUUUUUAAUGAAAUGUAAACAUAUAGCAGAUGCACAAUAAACAUUUAUUAAAUUAAAAAACCACUGAAAGAAACAUGAUACUGCAAUCCUGGUGCUUUAUUUACUAUUCUAAUCAUCUGCAGUCCUCCUUUUGCAUCUAAUGAGAGUCAUUUUUUAAAAAGCUCAUUGACCUAUUGAUUUAUAAAAGAAGACAUUUAGCAAAGCUGAAGAGAGGCCCACUUGAAUUUGAAUCAUUUUAACUAGCACUUAACCCUCGGCCUUUACCUAGCGGUUUGAGAUCCAAAGAUUCUUUGAGUUCUUAAACCUAUUUCAUAUUUGAUUAUUUAUUGCCUAACAGGAUCUUUGAUGCUACAUUUGAGCCUUUCUGGACAUCGGGAUUAUGGAUUAAAAGCCGUUGCUGUACCUCCUGCCUGUAGGUUGAUGAUCCUGGAGAAGAGAGAAUUAGUGAUAAAACCAACAGUACAUCACAUACGAAACUAUUGGCGAAUUUACCUGAGACAUUGAGGCUCAAGAUUAUGAGAAUGUGUGAUAGGACCAAAAGCAUAUUUCCAGGAUCAGAGAUGGCUGCGGUGGUGGUAGGAGAAGAUUAUUGAUGAGAGGCCUGGGAGAGGAGGAUGCUAUGUUCCUGCAGACACUUACACAACAGCUAAAUGUUGUUUUCAGCCUUACACUUUGAGCUGCACUCUCGUAGAGUUUACAAAGAUAAAUGAUCUAUUCUUGCCUCAUUGUUUCUGCCUGGUUCAUUCUCUUGGGAUUUGCUUUUAAAAUAAAUUAUUUGCAACUAAGAUUAUGUGUACACAUACAAUUGGUUUCAUUUACUAAUUCACUUGUUCAAGUAUUGUUGACUAUUGCGUGUGGGCCUGAGCAUGCAAUAAAGAGCAGGCAUGUGUCCCCAAGGAGCUAAUGGUCUAGAAGUGAAGGCUGCAGUCUGUAAAAAAACUGCAAUACAUUAUGAAAGGGCUGUAAGAGAAGGAUGCACAAAGCUUAGCUGUGACAUGAAAGCAAUGCAGCAGCUUUACUUGAGAGGCUUGACAGAGGACUAAGUGCUUGAGCUGCCUCUUGCAGGAUGGGUGGGAAUUUGCCUGGUUGACAGCAUGGGAAAGGGCAUUCCAGGAAGAUAAAGCCUUAGCAAAAAAGGAUCCAGAGACCUGGAAAUAGAGAGAUGCAUUUGUGAGCAGUAAAUCUUCACAUGGCAGGAUUACAAAGUGGGAGGAGGAGUAGAGUCACAAAGGAAGGAUCUGGAGAGCUUGGCCACGACCAGGUCAAGGAGGGUAUGCCAUGCUGCUAUGUUUGAACUCUGUCCUGCAGGCAAGACAGGGGACAUAUUCCGAUUAGCAUUUUACAAAUAUCUCUCAGGCAGCCUCACAAGAAUGAUACAGAGGAAGCCAAGCCCGGAUUUGGGAGACAUGGUGUGCAGACAAUUACAGUAAUAUUCAAGCGAAAAAACAAUGAAAGCCUGAAUUAAUGCUGCGAUAUUUAGAAUAGUGAGCACAGGAUGGACUGUCAAACUUAGCACACAGUACUUAGUGGCUGAGUCAGUGUGAAGGGUGAGGGAAAUUGAAGGCAAUUCCCAGGACUGCAGCUUGGGUGACAAAGUGGGUAGUGAUGAUAUUGCUCAGGAUAAGGAAGAUGAGCAGGCCUUUGAGAAAAGUAGUGACCUACAUUUCAUUUUUUAAUUUUAAUUUUAAUUCAUUUAUUUAU